rnacentral:rRNA from 1 species
AUUGAACGCUGGCGGCAGGCCUAACACAUGCAAGUCGAACGAGUGGCGGACGGGUGAGUAAUGUCUGGGAAACUGCCUGAUGGAGGGGGAUAACUACUGGAAACGGUAGCUAAUACCGCAUACCAUCGGAUGUGCCCAGAUGGGAUUCGCUAGUAGGUGGGGUAAAGGCUCACCUAGGCGACGAUCCCUAGCUGGUCUGAGAGGAUGACCAGCGACACUGGAACUGAGACACGGUCCAGAAUCCGACGGGAGGCAGCAGUGGGGAAUAUUGGGAAAUGGGCGCAAGCCUGAUGCAGCCAUGCCGCGUGUAUGAAGAAGGCCUUCGGGUUGUAAAGGUCUUUCAGCGGGGAGGCGUUACCCGCAGAAGAAGCACCGGCUAACUCCGUGCCAGCAGCCGCGGUAAUUC